CCUACGGGAGGCUGCAGUAGGGAAUAUUGCGCAAUGGGGGAAACUCUGACGCAGCAACGCCGCGUGAACGAUGAAGCCCUUCGGGGUGUAAAGAUCUGUCACUGGGGAUGAAACAUGACGGUACCCACUAAGAAAGCACCGGCUAACUCCGUGCCAGCAGCCGCGGUAAUACGGAGGGUGCAAGCGUUGUCCGGAAUCAGUGGGCGUAAAGGGUUCGUAGGUGGCACGUUAAGUCUGGUGUGAAAGGCGGAAGCUCAACUGCGGAAUGGCACAUGAAACUGGCGAGCUGGAGUGCGGUAGAGGUAAAGGGAAUUCCUGGUGUAGCGGUGGAAUGCGUAGAUAUCAGGAGGAACAUCGGUGGCGUAGGCGCUUUACUGGGCUGUAAUUGACGCUGAGGAACGAAAGCCGGGGGAGCAAAUGGGAUUAGAUACCCGGGUAGUC
rnacentral:rRNA from 1 species